rnacentral:lncRNA from 1 species
ACAUUCACCACCGCGUGACGCGGCGCCGGGUCGCCGCCGCAGAUUCGACACAAAACCCGGAAGGACCCCGCCGAAGGUUUUCUCCGGUUCGGGAGAGAGACGGAGUCCCGCUCUGUCACGCAGGCUGCCAGGCUGGCGUACAGUGGCGCAAUCUCAGCUCGCUGCAACCUCCACCUCCUGGGUUCAAGCGAUUUUCUUGCCUCUGCCUCCUGAGUAGCUGGGAUUACUGGCACACACCACCAUGCACAGGGAGAUAUGAGACAUCAAUCAAUAUAUGUAAGAUGUACAUCAGUUUCGUCUGGAAAGAUGGGACAACAUGAAGCAGGGAGGGGGCUCCCUGGUGACAGGGAAUUUUCUUGUGGGCAAAUUGUGAGGGAGUUCCUUGUUCAAAAUGCCAAGAACCUGGAUGACUCAUAGUCAAGACCCUCCACCAGUAACAUAUAUUGGCGAGCCAGCCAGGAGCUUGGAACCCUCGGUGGACAGUGCCUAAGCACAGAGGCAACCACAGGUUUCUAACAGGGCCACUCUCUGGUGAAACUGAAAGGUUUCUGUGUGAAAGUGCCUGACCACCACUGCCCAAUUCAGACCACUACAGGAAACACUCCAUUUAUUCCACCUGACUUCCCACUUGGCUGCAUCCUCAACCAUUGAAAUGAAUUUGACCCUGAUAAUCUAAGGAGGAAACAUUUGAUAUUCUUUUGCAAUAAUACUUGGCCCCAGUAUUGUUUGGAAUCUGGAGUUUGCUGUUGAAUGGGAAAGCAGGAUGACGUUGCAUGUAUCCAGGCUUUGGUGCUGCUGUCCUAAGAAGGGUCAGGCCUAGUCAGCAUAUGGUGCUCUCCUUUGGUGCUAUUUGGCUCCAGUGUCUUUGGAGUCUGAGGAGGUUUGGCCUUUAAAAAUCAAACUGCCACCGGAACUGCUUUAAAAAUGUUUGGUUCACAGCCUUCACUGGAUUACCUAUUGGAGCAAACAAAGUGUAACCAUGUAAAACCUGUGAGCUUGUAUUGAUAUCUCAUGGCUAGAGUUCCAAGCGAAUGGGUCUCAUGAGAUCUGAUGGUUUUGAAAAUGGGAGUUGCCCUGCACAAGCUCUCCUUUUGCCUGCUGCCAUCCACAUAAGAUGUGAUUUGCUCUUCCUUGCCUUCCACCAUGAUUGUGAGGCCUUCCCAGCAUGUGGAAAUGGUCCAGCCUGCAAUAACUGAAGCCCCCAGACCUGGAACCUGAAGAUCCCAUCAGCCACUAAACCUGUGAACCUGUAGAAGACCUGAAGUACCUGUUUAAAAGGCAGCCAAAAGAUAAGUAAAUUCCUAUCAACUUUCCUUGGUGUCCUUCUUGUAUAUUUACUGUAAGCUGGAUAUAAUAGUAGCCAUUUUUAUAUUUUUACAAUUUAAUUGCUUUCUUCCAAAUGGAUUGAAUCACUUCUUUUAAAGUGUUUUAAUUAAUUUUUAUCUAUAGAACAAAAUAACAAAUAAGUAUUUUUUUUUUAUACCAUAAUGGUCACCCACAGCCUGUGUAUACUAAGACCAUGCAUACUGAUAAUCAGCUUUAUUUUACAAAAGAGUUUCGCUUUACCCCUCUGGUAAUUAAUGGAUUCUGGGUAUUUAUUAAAAACUUUAACACAAAGACUGUUAAAUACCACCAGUCCAGCUUUGGCAAGGCACUGUUGGCUUUGUUUAUCUCCAUCAUCAUCCAAACAGACUACCAAUCCUGAUCCCAGCCCAAUCUUGGGCCCUUGAAAAAAUAACUUAACAUCCUAACUACAAGGGAGAAACUCCUUUCAAAUUAAUGAACCUGGCUGACUUAUAUAGCCUUAAAAUUAUGGAAAUGACAAGGGUUACAAUGUCAGAAUGAGCAGUAAACCUUCCCCAGUCCUAUCAGAGCAAACUUUCUGGGGUUGCAUCCCCUCAGAAACCCAUUUGGGGCCCAAUCUCAAUGCACAUAUCAGUGCGCAAAGCACUAAAAUUCCAGGCAACACUUUGUAUUGAGAGAAGCCAAAAUUUUGGUCCCGCCCUGGGACAUCUAAAGUCACCAAUGUAACUACACCAUACAGAUUAAACCCUCACAUGAUCAUGUAAGCUAUGCAGUUACCCAAGCUGCAUCAUUUAGAAAACCUGUACAGUUUUUAUGGAAACCAUCCCUAGUCAAGGACACUUUAAAUAUAUAGUCUAAAUACCGUUAAGGUAGGCCCACUAGCUGUGUUCACAUUUUCCCUUGGCCACCUUACCAGGGACUUUAAUAACUUGGGAAAGUGAAAACAACAAGCUAACCCACAUGUUCACCAUAGAAAACAAUUUUGUCUUGAAAAACAAGGACUCUUUUUCCCGUGUGGGACCAGUUCCUACUUAUGUUUUACCAGCCAAUUGGACUGGAACCUAUACAGUUGUUUAUUUAGCCCCCGAAAUUAAUAUAGCUCCCAACAACCAAUCCUUCAUUAUACUUUUAACUGCAACCACCAGACACAAAUGAGCCAUCCAACUGAUACCACUUUCGGUAGAGCUAGGAAUAACAGCAGGAGUAGGAAUGAGAGUUAGCAGCCUUGCAGUUUCCCUAUCCUAUUACCAAUGCUUGUCCAAGGAUUUUAUGGAAAGCUUAGGUGACAUUGCCCAAAAGUAUCAUCACCUUACAAAAUCAGAUAGAGUCUUUGGCAGUGGUGGCUUUGUAAAAUAGAAGGGGACUGGAUCUCCUAAAUGCUGAAGAAGGUGGCUUAUGUCUUUUUCCUAGAGGAAGAAUGCUGUUUUUAUGUCAACCAAACAGGAUUAGUAAGGGAUGCCACCCAAAAACUAGCCGAUUGGUACCAUAAGAUAUGACAACAGCUGUCUGAGUCAUGGGGCGCCUAGUCAAAAUGCUAAUUUGGGGCUCACAUCUCCUUCCUCUGGCCAGUCCACUAUUAAUUAUUAUACUUGCCUUGGCUUUUGGAUCAUGUUUGUUAAAUCUUUUAACCAGAUUUAUUUCUUCUUGCCUAGAGACCAUUAUGAUAAUGCAGCAGGGCCACCAGUCAGUUUCAGAUAAUGAUGUCAACCCCGGCCACCAAGAAGUAACCUUGUCUCCACUAGACAGAGCAGGGUGAGAGUUCUGUAAUCCCCAGUAGGUAGGGACUGUGCCCCAAGUCAGCAUGAAGUAGUUAUGGAAGAAAGACCAUGGGUCCCUCUGCCUCCCAGAAAGAUUUAUGGGGAUCACAUCUCUCAGGGGAAAAUGAGGCAGGAGAAUAGGGUCUGGAGACAGGGAACCUAAAGCUGAUUUGUGCUGAGUUUCUAGGAUUGAAUGAAAAGGAAAACCCCACCUCUCCACACCCAAGUAACAAAAGGAUCAGAGGCUACUCCCUUUGCACUGCAUUGCAGAUAAAAAAUGGAAAGUACCUCAGAUUGGUCCCCUCCCACAACCAAUCAGACUGGCCAUGGGCUACUCCUUCGUUUACAUAGGGUGUAACCAAGUAACCAAUGGGAAACCUCUAGCGGGUAUGUAAACCCCAGAAAAUUCUGUAACCAGUGCUCUUGAGCUGCUUGCUGGAGCCUACUCCCACUUUGUGAAGUGUACUUUCAUUUCAAUAAAUUUGUGCUUUCAUUGCUUCAUUCCUUCGUUGCUUUGUGUGUUUUGUCCAAUUCUUUGUUCAAAACACCAAGAACCUGGAUGACUCAUAGUCAAGAUCCUCUACCAGUAACACUUGAACUUUCUGGUUUGUCCUGAACAUCCCUCUUUCUUAAACAACCAGUCGUUUUAUUCUAGGCCAAAAUUUUACCAUACAAGAAUAUUUCUCAUAUACAAUUAUCUUCCUUCUAACUUUUCUUGCCAGAAAUACCUUUUAUAACUUUCUUUACAUUGCUUUUAUUUAACGAUUACUUUUACCUUGUUUCAUAAGUUUUAAAUAGCCUUGAAUUAGAUAAAAAAUUAUUUUCCUUUAAAUAAGAACACAUUUCUUUUUUUAGAAAAAUAUUUUUCUGUAAUUUUUUUUUUUUCUUGAGACAGAGUCUUGCUCUGUCACCCAGGCUGGAGUGCAGUGGCACAAUCUUGGCUCACUGCAAGUUCUGCCUCCCGGGUUCACGCCAUCCUCCUGCCUCAGCCUCCAGGGUAGCUGGGACUAGAGGUGCACACCACCACGCCUGGCUAAUUUUUUGUAUUUUUAGUAGAGACGGGGUUUCACUGUGUUAGCCAGGAUGAUCUCGAUCUCCUGACUAUGAUCUGUCUGCCUCAGCCUCCCAAAGUGCUGGGAUUACAGGUGUGAGCCACUGCACCUGGCCUAAUAUUUUAAAUUGGAAAUGACCCAGAUGUUUAAUGAGUACCUAUUAUUUAACUUAAUAUAAUUUUAGAUUCUAAAUUAUAUAACAAGUUUAAUCACAAGCAUUUAUUCCAUUACAUUUACCUAAUUAAUUUUUUUAAUAGUUU